rnacentral:misc_RNA from 1 species
AAGUCGUAACAAGGUUUCCGUAGGUGAACCUGCGGAAGGAUCAUUAACACAUCCCUUUCAACAAUAUAUCAACCUUGGCGCACAAGUUACGAAGCCCCUAGCGUUCAAUGCCCAUUUGACAAUGGUAUCGAGCUCUUCGAAGCUGGUCGGAUGGCUAGGCCUUGCUUGCGUUCCUCUUCGCUUUCAUGUGAUUUGGUCUUGCGGCCAGGUGAAUCAAACAUUGACUAGAGGGUCAUUACAGCCUCUACCAUGGCUGGUCUUUUUUACAACUUUCUUAACGUGAAUUUCGUACUGAUCGUGGCUUUUUCGGAUCGAGAGGAGUCAAAUCCUUUCUCUGGGGAGCCGAAGGGUGCUUCACGGCAUCUGAAAAAAACAAAAACACAACUCUUAACAGCGGAUAUCUCGGUUCUC